AUGUUUUCACUUUCACAUCCAUUUUCAUCAUUUUUGAAAACUCAGUUCAUCACUAUCGAUUCAAAACCACCGUCUACCAUCACGCACGAAGGUUUGUCGCCACCGUUGCCUUCCUUCUUCACACCGACUACCGCUAUUCCACCGAAUAAUCGUCUCCUCUCUUCCAUUCCAUUGACAUUGUUUUUUUGUCAUAAACCCUAG